rnacentral:rRNA from 1 species
ANUCUGCCCGAGCANCGCCGCGUGAGUGAAGAAGGUUUUCGGAUCGUAAAACUCUGUUGUUGUAGAAGAACAAGGAUGAGAGUAGAAUGUUCAUCCCUUGACGGUAUCUAACCAGAAAGCCACGGCUAACUACGUGCCAGCAGCCGCGGUAAUACGUAGGUGGCAAGCGUUGUCCGGAUUUAUUGGGCGGGAANCGAGCGCAGGCGGUUUCUUAAGUUUUUUUCUNAAAGCCNGNNGNCUCAANCCGGGGAGGGUNCAUUUGGA